CCUUCAAGCGAUGGGGUGACGCAGGAAGGUAGCCGUACCAGUCAGUGGUAACACUGGGGUAAGCCCGUAGGAAGAGACUUAGGCAAAUCCGGGUCUCAUAUAUUCCGAGAGGCGAUGCAUAGCCGAUUGCGGCGAAUUCGGUGAUCCUAUGCUGCCAAGAAAAGCCUCUAGCGAGCACACACACGGCCCGUACCCCAAACCGACACAGGUGGUCAGGUAGAGAAUACCAAGGCGUACGAGUGAACUAUGGUUAAGGAACUCGGCAAAAUACCCCCGUAACUUCGGGAGAAGGGGGACCCUCAUACCGUCAUGGCCACGCGGCCGGCAGCGGGAGGGGGUGGCAGAAACCAGUGAGAAGCGACUGUUUACUAAAAACACAGGUCCGUGCGAAGUCGCAAGACGAUGUAUACGGACUGACGCCUGCCCGGUGCUGGAAGGUUAAGAGGACCGGUUAACCCUUCGGGGUGAAGCUGAGAAUUUAAGCCCCAGUAAACGGCGGUGGUAACUAUAACCAUCCUAAGGUAGCGAAAUUCCUUGUCGGGUAAGUUCCGACCUGCACGAAUGGCGUAACGACUUCUCAACUGUCUCAACCAUAGACUCGGCGAAAUUGCACUACGAGUAAAGAUGCUCGUUACGCGCGGCAGGACGAAAAGACCCCGGGACCUUCACUAUAGCUUGGUAUUGAUGUUCGAUGCGGUUUGUGUAGGAUAGGUGGGAGACUGUGAAACCCGCACGCUAGUGUGGGUGGAGUCGUUGUUGAAAUACCACUCUGAUCGUAUUGGACCUCUAACUUCGAACCAUGAAGCUGGUUCAGGGACAGUGCCUGGUGGGUAGUUUAACUGGGGCGGUUGCCUCCUAAAAUGUAACGGAGGCGCCCAAAGGUUCCCUCAACCUGGACGGCAAUCAGGUGUUGAGUGUAAGUGCACAAGGGAGCUUGACUGUGAGACAGACACGUCGAACAGGGACGAAAGUCGGGACUAGUGAUCCGGCACCCCCGAGUGGAAGGGGUGUCGCUCAACGGAUAAAAGGUACCCCGGGGAUAACAGGCUGAUCUUCCCCAAGAGUCCAUAUCGACGGGAUGGUUUGGCACCUCGAUGUCGGCUCGUCGCAUCCUGGGGCUGGAGCAGGUCCCAAGGGUUGGGCUGUUCGCCCAUUAAAGCGGCACGCGAGCUGGGUUUAGAACGUCGUGAGACAGUUCGGUCUCUAUCCGCCGCGCGCGUCAGAAACUUGAGGAAACCUGUCCCUAGUACGGU
rnacentral:rRNA from 1 species